AGAGGGUGCUAGCGUUGUUCGGAAUUACUGGGCGUAAAGCGCGUGUAGGCGGCCUUGCAAGUCCAGGAGUGAAAGCCCUCGGCUUAACCGGGGAAGUGCGUCUGAAACUGCUUGGCUUGAGUACGGGAGAGGGAGGCGGAAUUCCCAGUGUAGAGGUGAAAUUCGUAGAUAUUGGGAGGACCACCGGUGGCGAAAGCGCCCUCCUGGACCGAUACUGACGCUGAGACGCGAAAGCGUGGGGAGCAAACAGGAUUAGAUACCCUGGUAGUCCACGCGGUAAACGAUGGGCACUAGGUGUGGGGGGUAUCCACUCCUCCCGUGCCGAAGCUAACGCAUUAAGUGCUCCGCCUGGGAAGUACGGCCGCAAGGCUA
rnacentral:rRNA from 1 species